rnacentral:rRNA from 1 species
UACGUAGGUGGCAAGCGUUGUCCGGAUUUAUUGGGUUUAAAGGGUGCGUAGGCGGUCCCACAAGUCAGUGCUGAAAUAUCCCGGCUUAACCGGGAGGGUGGCAUUGAUACUGUGGGACUUGAGUAAAGUUGAGGUUGGCGGAAUUGACGGUGUAGCGGUGAAAUGCUUAGAUAUCGUCAAGAACACCUAUUGCGAAGGCAGCUAACUAAGCUUUAACUGACGCUGAGGCACGAAAGUGUGGGGAUCAAACAGG